UACGGGGGGAGCAAGCGUUGUUCGGAUUUACUGGGCGUAAAGGGCGCGUAGGCGGCUCCGCAAGUCGACUGUGAAAUCUCCGGGCUUAACUCGGAAAGGUCAGCCGAUACUGCGGGGCUAGAGUGCAGAAGGGGCAACUGGAAUUCUCGGUGUAGCGGUGAAAUGCGUAGAUAUCGAGAGGAACACCUGCGGCGAAGGCGGGUUGCUGGGCUGACACUGACGCUGAUGCGCGAAAGCUAGGGGAGCGAACGGG
rnacentral:rRNA from 1 species